CAACGCUCUUGUGUUUCAGGGACAGCACAGAGCCACGACCUGGUUCACCUCUUCCACGUUUGUUUUCCUAAACAAUGCAACAAUCACUGGAACAAGAGAUCCCGGUACUGAGCUGUGCCCAGGUUGGUGUUUACCACAAACAAUGGCAUUAAACUCCCUGGAAAUCCCAAACUGGUGUUCCAGAGGAUGUGCCUGGCAUCUGAAUUUCAUCCAGGGAGAAAAGUAAGAAAG
rnacentral:lncRNA from 1 species